CCCCACCUGACCCCAUGCCGAACUCAGAAGUGAAACGCCGUAGCGCCGAUGGUAGUGUGGGGUCUCCCCAUGCGAGAGUAGGGAACUGCCAGGC
rnacentral:rRNA from 2 species